UGGGGAAUCUUGCACAAUGGGGGCAACCCUGAUGCAGCGACGCCGCGUGAGCGAUGAAGCCCUUCGGGGCGUAAAGCUCUUUCGACCGGAACGAUAAUGACGGUACCGGGAGAAGAAGCUGCGGCUAACUACGUGCCAGCAGCCGCGGUAAUACGGAGGGGGCUAGCGUUGUUCGGAAUUACUGGGCGUAAAGGGUGCGUAGGUGGUGGGGUAAGUCGGAUGUGAAAUCUCGGAGCUCAACUCCGAAAUGGCAUUGGAAACUACCCUGCUAGAGGGUCGGAGGGGGCACUGGAAUUCUCGGUGUAGCAGUGAAAUGCGUAGAUAUCGAGAGGAACACCAGUGGCGAAGGCGAGUCCCUGGACGACUCCUGACACUGAGGCACGAAAGCUAGGGGAGCAAACA
rnacentral:rRNA from 1 species